rnacentral:rRNA from 1 species
UACGAAGGGGGCUAGCGUUGCUCGGAAUCACUGGGCGUAAAGCGCACGUAGGCGGCUUUCUAAGACAGGGGUGAAAUCCUGGAGCUCAACUCCAGAACUGCCUUUGAUACUGGAGAGCUUGAGUCCGGAAGAGGUGAGUGGAACUCCGAGUGUAGAGGUGAAAUUCGUAGAUAUUCGGAAGAACACCAGUGGCGAAGGCGGCUCACUGGUCCGGUACUGACGCUGAGGUGCGAAAGCGUGGGGAGCAAACAGG